CCUCCCACCCUGGCGAUUCACUGUGACAAGUUCGAAACACAUGGACUUUCAGCUACAACUUGAAAGGGCCUGAAACACCAUUCGGGGGCGAGAAGAGAGCCAAACUAACCAGUCGGUCUCAUCCGGUUCCAGGCGGGUGCAGGACGAGGAAAUAGAGGCGUUCAGUCUCCUCGCUGCAGCCCGGCGCCUCCUUCCUUCUUCGUAAUGUCUCUGGGAACGCACAGUUACAUCAUUCAUUUAUGUAAUAACAAAGUGAUGAACACCGUCAUUGUUAGAGGCGGAGAAAAUCUAUUUAUUAAAUAAAUAUGUAUGAGUUAAAAGAACUUUGCCUUGAAAGUUACAAGAGGAAAAUAUGUUUGGGCCCCGCAGGACGAACCGCGUCCAAACCAGGUGUUUUAGCGACUGUUGGACCAACGUCCGGUCCGUGAUUCUGGUCCCGUGGGAGAGACGUGUGUCGAUGCAGAGCCUUGGAGGGAGGAGGCUGGCUUCCUGUUUCCUCCAGCCAGUCAGGUUUCUUUAAAACCACGUCCAUGAUUGUUCCCUAACCAAACAACCGAAUAUUACUUCAACCGUGACGGAGCACGACCCCCGACCCUCACAAAGUACUUACCUGUCUCAGCCAUUCAUUCUCACGCUGUGUGCCUUAUUCCAGUUGUGAAAACAUCUUUUUUUUUAUUUUGUAAUUAUUUCAUAUACUUUGUGUUCAUACUGAUAUGUCAAUUCAAUUGAGAAAUCACAAAAAAAGGGGUUCGUUUUUCAGCAGAAUCCAGCAGAACAGAGAAAGAAAAAAAUCAGGUAUGUUUAUUUGGGUAAAAUUUACAUUCAGGAACCCUGUGCACAUCCCUUUAUGGGGACAUUUAAAAAAGGGCAGAAAUGUUGAGGAGGGGAAGUCAAGAUCAAAGUUUAAAGGUGAGGCUUUGUUUACUGAGGUAUUCAAAUGAUGGGCUGUCAGACCAGAGCGCUUUGAAUGACUUACAUGGUCACCUGUGUAGAUGUUUGGUGACAAUAAAGACACAAAUAUGACUAGAGAGAUUUAGGACUGGGAGAUCAGAGAGGCACCUGUGUUGAUCUUUUUAACUUGAAAUGAUUCAUACUAAUAUUAAAUAUUUUUAUUAGCUAGAUCAAGAAACUAUUUGAAUAUUGAGAUAUUUCAGUCCUAAAACA
ensembl:lncRNA